CCGGAGCUAAUACCGGAUAGUUCCUUGAACCGCAUGGUUGAAGGAUGAAAGACGGUUUCGGCUGUCACUUACAGAUGGACCCGCGGCGCAUUAGCUAGUUGGUGAGGUAACGGCUCACCAAGGCGACGAUGCGUAGCCGACCUGAGAGGGUGAUCGGCCACACUGGGACUGAGACACGGCCCAGACUCCUACGGGAGGCAGCAGUAGGGAAUCUUCCGCAAUGGACGAAAGUCUGACGGAGCAACGCCGCGUGAGUGAUGAAGGUUUUCGGAUCGUAAAGCUCUGUUGUUAGGGAAGAACAAGUGCAAGAGUAACUGCUUGCACCUUGACGGUACCUAACCAGAAAGCCACGGCUAACUACGUGCCAGCAGCCGCGGUAAUACGUAGGUGGCAAGCGUUGUCCGGAAUUAUUGGGCGUAAAGGGCUCGCAGGCGGUUUCUUAAGUCUGAUGUGAAAGCCCCCGGCUCAACCGGGGAGGGUCAUUGGAAACUGGGAAACUUGAGUGCAGAAGAGGAGAGUGGAAUUCCACGUGUAGCGGUGAAAUGCGUAGAGAUGUGGAGGAACACCAGUGGCCGAAAGGCGACUCUCUGGUCUGUAACUGACGCUGAGGAGCGAAAGCGUGGGGAGCGAACA
rnacentral:rRNA from 1 species